GUCAUCUUUGCAGGUACAGCAUAGGCAGGGACACUGUGAGCUUUCUCCACACCACCCUGUCCCUGUGCUUCAAUCCUGACCUGGAAGGACACCUCUAGAGGC
ensembl:misc_RNA